rnacentral:misc_RNA from 1 species
GAUGAGAUGAGGUUAAAGCUUCAGGAACUCGAGAGAGUACUGCUAGAUGAUAAUGGAGAUGAUGAUGAGGAUGACAUGUUCGGAAAUAGUCAAAGCAUGGAAAUUGAUGGUGAAUGGUCUGAACCAAUCCAGAAUGUGACGUUCCAUGACUCACCGAAGGAGUCUUCAUCUUCAGAUUCUAACUUGAGUAGCAUUAGCAGUAGCAAAGAAGUGUCACAAUUAUCUCCCCGGGCU